UCCCCGCUUCCCUCCCUGAGCGGGUAGAGCCCGGUUCAAGAGACCUGUGCCGGGUUGGUCUGCCCCGGCGGUUUUCACAAACCGCCGGGGCUUUUUUGU
rnacentral:ncRNA from 1 species